rnacentral:rRNA from 1 species
UACGGGGGGAGCAAGCGUUGUUCGGAUUUACUGGGCGUAAAGGGCGCGUAGGCGGUCAGCACAAGUCAGUUGUGAAAUCUCCGGGCUUAACUCGGAAAGGUCAACUGAUACUGUGCGACUAGAGUGCAGAAGGGGCAACUGGAAUUCGUCGGUGUAGCGGUGAAAUGCGUAGAUAUCGGGAGGAACACCGGUGGCGAAGGCG